UAUUAGGUUGGUGCAAAAGUAAUUGCGGUUUUCACAAUUAAAAGUAUAAUUGUGAAAACCGCAAUUACUUUUGCACCAACCUAAUA
rfam:Homo sapiens chromosome 7, GRCh38 reference primary assembly.